rnacentral:rRNA from 1 species
UACAGAGGGCGCGAGCGUUGUCCGGAAUCACUGGGCGUAAAGGGCGCGUAGGUGGCCACCAUAAGGCCGCGGUGAAAGUUCGGGGCUCAACCCUGAAUCGGCCGCGGCGACUGUGGGGCUUGGGCACCGUAGAGGCAGAUGGAAUUCCGGGUGUAGCGGUGGAAUGCGUAGAGAUCAGGAGGAACACCGAUGGCGAAGGCAGAUCUCUGGGCCGUAACUGACGCUGAGGAGCGAAAGCAUGGGGAGCGAACAGG